AUGCGUUGUUGGGUAGGGGAGCGUUCUGUAAGCCUGUGAAGGUGUGCUGUGAGGCAUGCUGGAGGUAUCAGAAGUGCGAAUGCUGACAUAAGUAACGAUAAAGCGGGUGAAAAGCCCGCUCGCCGGAAGACCAAGGGUUCCUGUCCAACGUUAAUCGGGGCAGGGUGAGUCGCCCCCUAAGGCGAGGCCGAAAGGCGUAGUCGAUGGGAAACAGGUUAAUAUUCCUGUACUUGGUGUUACUGCGAAGGGGGGACGGAGAAGGCUAUGUUGGCCGGGCGACGGUUGUCCCGGUUUAAGCGUGUAGGCUGGUUUUCCAGGCAAAUCCGGAAAAUCAAGGCUGAGGCGUGAUGACGAGGCACUACGGUGCUGAAGCAACAAAUGCCCUGCUUCCAGGAAAAGCCUCUAAGCAUCAGGUAACAUCAAAUCGUACCCCAAACCGACACAGGUGGUCAGGUAGAGAAUACCAAGGCGCUUGAGAGAACUCGGGUGAAGGAACUAGGCAAAAUGGUGCCGUAACUUCGGGAGAAGGCACGC
rnacentral:rRNA from 1 species